CUUUCUUUGCUGGCGACCGGCGCACGGGUGAGUAACACGUAUCCAACCUGCCCUUUACUCGGGGAUAGCCCUUCGAAAGAAAGAUUAAUAUCCGAUAGUAUAAUGAUUCCGCAUGGUUUCAUUAUUAAAGGAUUCCGGUAAAGGAUGGGGAUGCGUUCCAUUAGGUUGUUGGUGAGGUAACGGCUCACCAAGCCUUCGAUGGAUAGGGGUUCUGAGAGGAAGGUCCCCCACAUUGGAACUGAGACACGGUCCAA
rnacentral:rRNA from 1 species